rnacentral:rRNA from 1 species
GUGCCAGCAGCCGCGGUAAUACCGACAGCACGAGUGAUGGCCGAUAUUAUUGGGCCUAAAGCGUCCGUAGCUGGCCGACCAAGUCUCCCGGGAAAUCCACCCGCCCAACGGGUGGGCGUCCGGUAGAAACUGGCCGGCUUGGAACCGGAAGGCUCAGAGAGUACGUCCGGGGUAGGAGUGAAAUCCCGUAAUCCCGGACGGACUACCGAUGGCGAAAGCACUCUGAGAAGACGGCUUCGACAGUGAGGGACGAAAGCUCAGGUCUCAAACCGGAUUAGAAACCCCAGUAGUCC